CGAACCGGAGUAGAGCACGGGAAACGAACCCAAUCUACACGUACUCGGGUGGGAUUAGGACCCAUCUUUACCUAUUAGAGAUAGGAUUCAAUCCAUGAAUGCCCGUUUCCCUUUUGUAUGGUAAAAAAUUAAAACCAUGGCGUAAAUAAUAUGACAAGGGUAAUUAGUUGUGUAUCUAGUCUUAAUUACAAUAUACAUAUCUGGAUGAAUAUGAAUUUGGUGCCCCUACUGUUAGUGCAAGUACCAGUAUGGAUGAUCGUGAGUGGAUGUACACUGGCCACCCUAGUCAAGCUGGCAGGACCACUGAAUGGGUGACGAAGACCAAUGAAUUUGUAGAGGCAGCAUUUGCUAGAGGCCAAAGAAAAAGUUGGUGCCCCUGCUUGAAGUGUGGCAACGGCAGAGAACAGGCGAAGAAGACGAUGUGUAGGCACCUGCAGAAGCAUGGGUUUAAGCGUGGGUAUACCCGGUGGACCCCUCAUGGCGAGCCUGAACGUAGCAGAGAGGAGGUGGUUCGUCGGCGAACCAACAACAAUGGUACCGGGAUCGUUGACAUCGUAGCUGACUUCAACGAUGCACGUGAAGAGGGAUCAGAGGAAGAACUGGAGGAGUCUGCGAGGGCCUUCUUAGAAAUGCUGAAUUCCUCACAACAACCUCUUCACGACCACACAAACCAAUGUCAGCUGGAUGCCAUUGCACAAGCAAUGUCUAUAAAGACCCAGUUCAACAUGAGCAGAGAUUCCUUUAAUUCGAUGGUGACAUCUUGGGGUCGCUCUCUCCUCGAAGGUCACAAACUGGCUAAAAGCUGGUAUGAAGCGAAGAAAAUCCUUCGUGCACUUAAGAUGCCAUAUGAGCAGAUACAUGCUUGUCCAAACAGAUGUGUCUUAUUUGCGAAAGAGUAUGCCGAUGACAAGUAUUGCGCCAAGUGCAAAGCCUCUAGGUAUGUCGAGAGAGACCUCAGUGAUGGUACGAAGAAGCAGAGCAAAGUCCCCGCAAAUGUUCUUCGAUGUUUUCCAAUCUUGCCAAGAAUUCAACGUCUUUACUUGAAUGAAGAUACAGCCAAACAGAUGACAUGGCACACAUAUGGGAUAAGACGCGACAAAGAUGAUCAUGGGAGACCGAUGUUGAUACAUCCGUCUUGUGCCCAAGCAUGGAAGAGUUUCGAUCGAAUACAUCAUGAGAAAGCAGAAGAGGCAAAGAAUGCACGAGUUGCCAUCUGACUCGAUGGGUUCAAUCCAUUUGGUAUGGUGUCAAAGACAUAUAGUUGCUGGCCCGUGUUUGUUGUUCCCCUCAACCUCCCCCUGGCGCCAUAAUGCAACACAAGCACAUGUUCAUGUCGUUGAUAAUUCCAGGGCCCAAGUAUCCGGGGAAGAAUAUAAGUGUGUACAUGCAACCAUUGUUAGAUGAGUUGAAAGAAUCUUGGGUGAAUGGGAUACGGACAUACGACGCUGCUAGCAAAAAGAACUUCACAAUGCAUGUUUGGUACCAGUACUCACUUCAUGACUUACCGGCGUAUUCACUUUUCAUGGGGUGGUCUGUGCAUGGGAGGUUCCCAUGCCCAAGGUGCAAGGCAAGCAUGCAGUGCCGUUGGUUGCAGCAUGGUCGCAAGUAUUCUUGCUUCGAUUUUCAUAGACAACAUUUGCGUCCUGACCAUCCAUUCAGACAAGACAAGAAGAACUUCAUGAAAGGUGAAGUCGUUGAACACUCGGCACCACCUGAGAUGACGGGUGAACAAAUUCGUGAUCAACUAAAUGCUCUCUAGCCUGAUCCCAAACGUCCAGGGUAUUUCUUGGGAUAUAAUGAAGAACACGCGUGGACUCAUAAGCCAUGCUUAUGGGAUCUCCCCUACUUCCACCAGCUCGAGCUUCCACAUAAUAUUGAUGUAAUGCACACUAAAAGGAAUAUCGCCGAGGCCAUUUUUGGCACAUUGUUCAACAUUGCUGAGAAGACGAAGGAUAAUACUAAGGCUAGACUUGAUGUAAUGAAGCUAUGUGAUAGACCCGAACAAAACUUGCGACAACCCGAGGGCAAGAAAAACUGGAGGACGCCAAAGGCGAGGUAGGCGAGGUUUGCUCUUACUAGGGAAUAAAAGAAGGAGAUACUCAUGUGGUUCAAAACUUUCUUGUUCCCUGAUGGGUAUGCAGCGAACCUUAUGAGGGCAGUGAAUCUUGAUAAGUUGAAGCUCAACGGGAUGAAGAGUCAUGAUUGGCACAUAUGGUUUGAGCGGUUAAUGCCGGUGAUGAUUCGAGGCUAUAUCCCUGAGGAUGAUUGGGAAGUAUUGGCAGAGCUUAGCUAUUUUUUCCGUGUUCUUUGUGCUAAAGAAGUAUCUCCUACCGUGAUAGACGAGAUGGAAGGACGGGCCCCCCGAGUUGCUCUGCAAGCUAGAGAAGAUCUUUCCACCAGGAUUCUUUAAUCCGAUGGAACAUAUGAUUUUACACCUCCCUUCCGAGGCAAGAAUGGGUGGCCCUGCGCAGAAUCGUUGGUGCCAUGGACUUGAGAGAAUGCAGAAGACUCUUCGAGCUAAAUGUAGAAAUAAAUGUAGAAUUGAAGCCUCCAUAGCCGAGGCAUUUUUGGCGGAGGAGAUUACAAACUUCACGACAUCAUGCUAUGCGGCCAAUAUUCCAAGCUUGCAUAAUGCAAAGUCUCGAUACAAUACCGGCGACCCUAAACAUGAAUCCAAGCUUAGCCUCUUCAAAGGGCAACUCGGACCUGUGGGUGCUUCUGGUUCAAAGAAUUUGGAUCCGAAAGAGUGGAAAUCGCUUACGUUGUAUAUCCUCACCAACCUUCAAGAAGUGUGGCCGUACAUUGAUGAAUUCAUUGCCCAAUUCUCGAAUGGAGGGGUCGAACGUGAUUCACUCGAAGAGUAUGAGCUUCUUGCUGGUGAAGGAGACGGCAAUUAUGGUUUCAUUUCUUGGUUCAGAGAAAAGGGUACGUCAAUAUUGGAUGAAGAGUUGAAACAAGUUGCUAAUGGGUUUGACUAUAAGUUCGGUACAUUUGAUAAAUACGACAUCAAUGGGUUUCGCUUCUGCACACAUGGGAACGAGGAACGUCGGGACGUUCUAAAAUCAAGAAACACGGGAGUGUCGGCUAUUUGCAAUGGAGUUGAGUAUUAUGGAAGACUUGAUGAAAUAUAUGAACUGCAUUACUUUGGGGCAAAUCCUCCGAAAGUCGUUGUCUUCAAAUGCCAUUGGUUUCAUCCGGAGAAGGUUAGGCGGAGGGAUGAUAUUGGGCAAGUCGAAAUUCGACAAGACAGCAAAUUAGAAUGUGAAGAUGUCUAUAUUGUGGCUCAACAAGCGACACAAGUUUUUUUAACCUCAAGUACACAUGCCAAAAGAAGUACUUAAGGGUUGGGAUGUCGUGUACGAUGUGCCGCCACAUGGUAAACAUCCUUCCCCGAGUGAAGAGGAUUAUCAACCUCAUAUCGACCCUGACACAUAUGAUGGAGAAUUCUUCCAAGAAGAACAUGGGCCUAGAGGCCGUCUCAACAUCCAUCCAUGCAUGGAAGUACACAUUGACAGUGAAGAAGAAGAAGCCGAAGAGGAAGAAGAAGAGGUUACGAACAUGGAAGACCUCUCAAUGCUUGAACGGUUACGUCUAGGCAUUGCCGAUGAAGGUGACGAUGACGGUCAACAUGAGGACAACAUCCUUGACGACACGUAUGAUAUUGAUGAUGAGGCUAGAACUGACCUUGAAGAAGAGACGGAUUGUGAUCCAGAUGAUCCCGACUAUUUUUAGUCGUAGUGUUGAACUGUAAUGUUGAUUUUGUACUAGUUGCUUUACCAUGACCCUGAUGAUCUCAAACAUGUUGUAAUGUUGAAUUUGUAAUAUUUUUGAACUUAUGCUUAUCUAUUUGAAGUAUAAUGUAGUUUUUGUACUAUAA